rnacentral:lncRNA from 1 species
GUAAUGUUGUAUUGACAAAAUACCGAUAUCCUUGAAGACGUGUCCUGUAUUGUGGCAUCAUGGGGAAGACCCUCACUUCACAUUUCUCUAUGAAGAAAUAGAGGAACAGAGAGGGUAAGCUACUUUCCCAAUGUCACACAACUUUUAAGAAGCAGAAGUGAGAUUUGAAUUGAGGCUUCAUGAGGUUCCAGAGUCUUUGAUGUUAUAAUUUCCCAGACACAGCCUAGACCCUUUUGAAAUAUUUUUAUUAAGCAAGUUUGAAUAACUUGCUGGGGAUCUGGUUUUUAAGCAAACAACCCAAAUGAGAUGAUUUUCCCCAUUAGGAAAGUUCGGGAAACUU